CAGGACGAACGCUGGCGGCGUGCCUAAUACAUGCAAGUCGAGCGAAUGGUUAGAGAAGCUUGCUUCUCUCUGAUUUAGCGGCGGACGGGUGAGUAACACGUGGGUAACCUACCCUAUAGACUGGGAUAACUUCGGGAAACCGGAGCUAAUACCGGAUAAUACUUUUUGAACUCAUGUUCGAAAGUUGAAAGAUGGUUUCGGCUAUCACUAUAGGAUGGACCCGCGGCGCAUUAGCUAGUUGGUGAGGUAACGGCUCACCAAGGCAACGAUGCGUAGCCGACCUGAGAGGGUGAUCGGCCACACUGGGACUGAGACACGGCCCAGACUCCUACGGGAGGCAGCAGUAGGGAAUCUUCCACAAUGGACGAAAGUCUGAUGGAGCAACGCCGCGUGAGUGAAGAAGGAUUUCGGUUCGUAAAACUCUGUUGCAAGGGAAGAACAAGUAGCGUAGUAACUGGCGCUACCUUGACGGUACCUUGUUAGAAAGCCACGGCUAACUACGUGCCAGCAGCCGC
rnacentral:rRNA from 1 species